rnacentral:rRNA from 1 species
UCCUACGGGAGGCAUCAGUGGGGAAUCUUGAACAAUGGGCGCAAGCUUGAUCCAGCCAUUCCGAGUGGAUGAUGAAGGCCCUAGGGUUGUAAAAUCCUUUCGGAAGGGAAGAUAAUGACGGGACCUGGUAAAGAAGCCCCGGUUAACUCCGUGCCACCAGCCACGGUAAUACGGAGGGGGCUAGCGUUAUUCGGAAUUACUGAGCGUAAAGCGCGCGUACGCAGAUCUCUCAGUCAAAGGUGAAAUCCUCAACCUCAAAUUCGGAACUGCCUUUGAUACUGUCGAUCUGAAGACCGGGAGAGGUGCAUGGAAUUCCAAGUGGAGAUUCUAAAUUCUUAGAAAUCCCAGGAAACCCAAGGGGCCACGCCGAUUCACUGGACACGUUCAGACACUUCACGUUGGAAAGCCAGCGAAAUAAAC